UACGUAGAUGGCGAGCGUUGUCCGGAUUUACUGGGCGUAAAGAGCGCGCAGGCGGUCGUGCAAGUCGCGUGUGAAAGCCCCCGGCUCAACUGGGGAGGGUCACGCGAUACUGCUCGACUCGAAGGCAGGAGAGGGAAGUGGAAUUCCCGGUGUAGUGGUGAAAUGCGUAGAUAUCGGGAGGAACACCAGUGGCGAAGGCGACUUCCUGGCCUGUUCUUGACGCUGAGGCGCGAAAGCUAGGGUAGCAAACGGG
rnacentral:rRNA from 1 species